rnacentral:rRNA from 1 species
GAGUUUGAUCCUGGCUCAGGACGAACGCUGGCGGCGUGCUUAACACAUGCAAGUCGAACGAGGCCAGGCCUUCGGGUCUGAUCGAGUGGCGAACGGGUGAGUAACACGUGAGAAACCUGCCCCGGAGACCGGGACAACCAAGGGAAACUUUGGCUAAUACCGGAUGCCCCCGGAUGAUCGCAUGAUCAACCGAGGAAAGGCUCCGGCGCUCUGGGAGGGUCUCGCGGCCUAUCAGCUUGUUGGCGGGGUAACGGCCCACCAAGGCAUCGACGGGUAGCUGGUCUGAGAGGACGAUCAGCCACACUGGGACUGAGAUACGGCCCAAACUCCUACGGGAGGCAGCAGUGGGGAAUAUUGCGCAAUGGGCGAAAGCCUGACGCAGCAACGCCGCGUGGGGGAUGAAGGCUUUCGGGUUGUAAACCCCUUUCAGCAGGGACGAAAAUGACGGUACCUGCAGAAGAAGCCCCGACCAACUACGUGCCAGCAGCCGCGGUAACACGUAGGGGGCGAGCGUUGUCCGGAUUUAUUGGGCGUAAAGAGCUCGUAGGCGGUUGCGUAAGUCGGAUGUGAAAACUCAGGGCUCAACCCGGAGAUGCCAUCUGAUACUGCGCUGACUAGAGUCCGGUAGAGGAGCAUGGAAUUCUUGGUGUAGCGGUGAAAUGCGCAGAUAUCAGGAGGAACACCAGCGGCGAAGGCGGUGCUCUGGGCCGGACCUGACCCUGAGGAGCGAAAGCGUGGGUAGCGAACAGGAUUAGAUACCCUGGUAGUC